rnacentral:rRNA from 1 species
CCGUGUGAUCUACCCAUGUCCAGGGUGAAGGUCAGGUAACACUGACUGGAGGCCCGAACCCACGCACGUUGAAAAGUGCGGGGAUGAGGUGUGGGUAGGGGUGAAAUGCCAAUCGAACACGGAGAUAGCUGGUUCUCUCCGAAAUAGCUUUAGGGCUAGCCUCAAAGGAUGAUGGUUGGAGGUAGAGCACUGAUUGGACUAGGGGCCCUCAUCGGGUUACCGAAUUCAGUCAAACUCCGAAUGCCAAUCAAUCUACUUUGGGAGUCAGACCAUGGGUGAUAAGG